CAGGGAAGCUCUGAAGGUGACCGUACCAUCCUUGAAGUCCUGCAAAGGGGUGAUAAUAACCCAUUCCUUAUCUGGAAAAAUGUGGCUGUGGCAUCUGUUCAUCAUCUUCGUCAUCUCACUUUUAAGAGGAAGCACAGGACAGUCGGUGAAGCAAACAUCUGGCAUUGUGACUGUUACUGAAGGACAACCUAUUUUUCUCCAUUGUUCCUAUGAAGCACCAUCCAAUAGCAUAAAUUACCCAUUUUGGUACAUUCAGCAUUCUGGUCAGCCUCUAGAGAUCUUGUUGAAUGAAUUUGACAACAAGGCCCAAGGUUUCCAGGCAACUCACAAUAAAACUGGUCAAAAGGGGACUUUCAACAUGGAGAAACAAACCAUCCGGUUGAAGGACUCUGCUGUCUACUUCUGUGCCUUCACAGACACAGUGACAAGAGGCAGAAGGGAAGCCAAUCAAAAACAGGAGAAAAAGUAUUAAAUGGAGAGACAGUUUUCUGCAAUUUUCAACUGAUUCCCUUAACAAUAGUGAUUCUCCCUCUCACAUGUAUUUAUCCUCGUAAUUCCUUCUCCGUUCACCUGGCCAACAAUACAUUUUUCUUUCGGAAAUCACCUUCAACCCUGGGAUCUGUCCUUCAACCGAGCUCCUUUCUUUGUCUAUCUUUGAACAUUUAUUUAGUUAUCAAAUUUAUAAACUGCUCAUUACUCUCACUGAGGGACUGUACAGGUAAAAAAUUAAAGCAUAAAACAUCA